UCCAGGUGAUUCCAUGUCGUGGAGGGGAUGUAUCCAGGUGAUUCCAUGUCGUGGAGGGGAUGUAUCCAGGUGAUUCCAUGUCGUGGAGGGGAUGUAUCCAGGUGAUUCCAUGUCGUGGAGGGGAUGUAUCCAGGUGAUUCCAUGUCGUGGAGGGGAUGUAUCCAGGUGAUUCCAUGUCGUGGAGGGGAUGUAUCCAGGUGAUUCCAUGUUGUGGAGGGGAUGUAUCCAGGUGAUUCCAUGUCGUGGAGGGGAUGUAUCCAGGUGAUUCCAUGUCGUGGAGGGGAUGUAUCCAGGUGAUUCCAUGUCGUGGAGGGGAUGUAUCCAGGUGAUUCCAUGUCGUGGAGGGGAUGUAUCCAGGUGAUUCCAUGUCGUGGAG